AGUGAACGCUGGCGGUAGGCCUAACACAUGCAAGUCGAACGGCAGCACAGUAAGAGCUUGCUCUUACGGGUGGCGAGUGGCGGACGGGUGAGGAAUACAUCGGAAUCUACUUUUUCGUGGGGGAUAACGUAGGGAAACUUACGCUAAUACCGCAUACGACCUACGGGUGAAAGCAGGGGAUCUUCGGACCUUGCGCGAUUGAAUGAGCCGAUGUCGGAUUAGCUAGUUGGCGGGGUAAAGGCCCACCAAGGCGACGAUCCGUAGCUGGUCUGAGAGGAUGAUCAGCGACACUGGAACUGAGACACGGUCCAGGCUCCUACGAGAGGCAGCAGUGGGGAAUAUUGGACAAUGGGCGCAAGCCUGAUCCAGCCAUACCGCGUGGGUGGAGAAGGCCUUCGGGUUGUAAAGCCCUUUUGUUGGGAAAGAAAAGCAGCAGGUUAACACCCCGCUGUUCUGACGGUACCCAAAGAAUAAGCACCGGCUAACUUCGUG
rnacentral:rRNA from 1 species